UACGUAGGGUGCGAGCGUUAAUCGGAAUUACUGGGCGUAAAGCGUGCGCAGGCGGUUUUGUAAGACAGCUGUGAAAUCCCCGGGCUCAACCUGGGAACUGCAUUUGUGACUGCAUAGCUGGAGUGCGGCAGAGGGGGAUGGAAUUCCGCGUGUAGCAGUGAAAUGCGUAGAUAUGCGGAGGAACACCGAUGGCGAAGGCAAUCCCCUGGGCCUGCACUGACGCUCAUGCACGAAAGCGUGGGGAGCAAACAGG
rnacentral:rRNA from 1 species